rnacentral:rRNA from 1 species
CACGCCCUAAACGAUGCACAUUUGGUGUGGGCAGUUCAUUCUGUCCGUGCCGGAGCUAACGCGUUAAAUAUGCCGCCUGGGGAGUACAGUCGCAAGGCUGAAACUCAAAGGAAUUGACGGGGGCCCGCACAAGCGGUGGAGCAUGUGGUUCAAUUCGACGCAACGCGAAGAACCUUACCUGGGCUCGAACGGCUGGUCAACGGAGGUGGAAACACCUUUACCCCGCAAGGGGGUCCAGUCGAGGUGCUGCAUGGCUGUCGUCAGCUCGUGUCGUGAGAUGUUGGGUUAAGUCCCGCAACGAGCGCAACCCUUGUCCUGUGUUGCCAUGUCCGAAAGGACGGAACUCGCAGGAGACCGCCAGCGAUAAGCUGGAGGAAGGUGGGGAUGACGUCAAGUCCUCAUGGCCUUUAUGUCCAGGGCUACACACGUGCUACAAUGGACGGUACAAUACGUCGCUAACCCGCGAGGGGGAGCCAAUCGCAAAAAACCGUUCUCAGUUCGGAUUGCAGGCUGCAACUCGCCUGCAUGAAGCUGGAAUCGCUAGUAAUGGCAGAUCAGCACGCUGCCGUGAAUACGUUCCCGGGCCUUGCACUCACCGCCGUCGGACCAUGUCAAA